CCUACGGGAGGCAGCAGUGAGGAAUAUUGGUCAAUGGACGCAAGUCUGUACCAGCCAUGCCGCGUGCAGGAAGACGGCUCUAUGAGUUGUAAACUGCUUUUGUACGAGGGUAAACGCAGAUACGCGUAUCUGUAUGAAAGUAUCGUACGAAUAAGGAUCGGCUAACUCCGUGCCAGCAGCCGCGGUAAUACGGAGGAUUCAAGCGUUAUCCGGAUUUAUUGGGUUUAAAGGGUGCGUAGGCGGUCGGAUAAGUUAGAGGUGAAAUCCCGAGGCUCAACUUCGGAAUUGCCUCUGAGACUGUUCGGCUAGAGAGGAGUUGCGGUAGGCGGAAUGUAUGGUGUAGCGGUGAAAUGCUUAGAGAUCAUACAGAACACCGAUUGCGAAGGCAGCUUACCAAGCUACUUCUGACGUUGAGGCACGAAAGCGUGGGGAGCAAACAGGAUUAGAUACCCUUGUAGUC
rnacentral:rRNA from 1 species